CCUACGGGAGGCAGCAGUGAGGAAUAUUGGUCAAUGGACGAGAGUCUGAACCAGCCAAGUAGCGUGAAGGAUGACUGCCCUAUGGGUUGUAAACUUCUUUUAUAUGGGAAUAAAAUGUUCCACGUGUGGGAUUUUGUAUGUACCAUAUGAAUAAGGAUCGGCUAACUCCGUGCCAGCAGCCGCGGUAAUACGGAGGAUCCGAGCGUUAUCCGGAUUUAUUGGGUUUAAAGGGAGCGUAGGUGGAUUGUUAAGUCAGUUGUGAAAGUGUGCGGCUCAACCGUAAAAUUGCAGUUGAAACUGGCAGUCUUGAGUACAGUAGAGGUGGGCGGAAUUCGUGGUGUAGCGGUGAAAUGCUUAGAUAUCACGAAAAACUCCGAUGGCGAAGGCAGUUCACUGGACUGCAACUGACACUGAGGCUCGAAAGUGUGGGUAUCAAACAGGAUUAGAUACCCGGGUAGUC
rnacentral:rRNA from 1 species